GCACGACCCCACCCACACCUGCGACCAGCCGUGUGUCCAGGGCUGCGUCUGCCCAGACAACAUGGUCCUCAUGGGUGACGAGUGUGUCAAGCCAGACAUGUGCACAGACUGCUUCUGCUAUGGCUAUGGUGAUCCUCACUACGUGAGCUUCGACGGCACCUACUAUCCAUUCCAGGGUAACUGCACAUACGUUCUGUCCAGGGACAUGACCACAAGAGCACAUGACUACGAGGUUCUGGUCCACAAUGUUGAGUGCCACUACCAGCAGCGCGGAACCUGCACCAAGGCUGUGACUGUCCGCCAUGGCUGGCCACGAGAUCACUCUGAUGAACGGCCGUGUUGCUAAGGUUGAUGGGGCCUACUCCUCUGUGGGCUACAACGCCCCAGUGACGACUCAGGGCAUGGAGGUGCGUCUGGCCGGUCUGCAGCUGGAGCUGAAGAUCCCAGCACUCAACAUCAUCGUCACCUUCAACGAGAUCAACCACGGCUUCAGCGUCCAGGUGCCAGUCUCCCGCUACUACGGCCGCACCGAGGGUCUCUGUGGUCCAUGUGACUACAACCAGAACAACGACUUGACCAUGCCUGACGGCACCAUCUCCAGCAUCCCUGAUGAGUUUGCCUUCAGCUGGCUUGAGCAGUUCCCAGGUGGUAUCCCAGAGGAACCAGGUACUCUGCCAUACGAGCCGUUCAGCGGCCCAGACGAGCCAGUGACCGGUACCCCUGAGGAGUACUGCCAGAUCCUGCCUGCCACCUUCCCACCCAACGGUGUCUGCGACGUGCCAACCGACCGCUGCGAGGUUAUCCGUGGACCACUGUUCGAGGACUGCAACCUGCUGAUCAACCCAGACACCUUCGUCGAGGCUUGUAUCUUUGACGUCUGCAACUCUGACCUGGACACUCCCGAGGACCAGGCCUGCGAUGCCAUCGCUGCCUACGCCCAGAUGUGUCUGAUGCAGGGCAUCUGUGUGGACUGGAGGGACGACGGCCUCUGCCCCAUCCACUGCCCAGCACCGAUGGAGUUCACAGAGUGCGGCACCGGCUGCCCGGCCACUUGUGACGACCCGACCGCCCAGAACUGUGACACCACCCUGCCUGGCUGCUACUGUCCUGACGGCAUGGUCCUGCACGACGGACAGUGUAUGGCUCCCGAGGAGUGCCCUGUGUGCUUCGAGAAGGACGGCACUGGAUACAUGCUUGGUGAGACCUGGAACCCAGCAGGUGACCUCUGCACAGUCUGCACCUGCGCAGCUGCCGACACCAUCACCUGCGCUGCCAAGACCUGCCCGACCUUCAGCACACCUGUCUGCGCUGACGGCUGGAAGCUGGACACUCAGCUGACCGCUGACAACUGCUGUAGCCAGGAGAUCUGCACACUGUGUCUGGAGUCUGACUGUCCGUUCCAGCCUACUCCACCAACCUGUGCUGACGGAGAGACUCUCAUGGAACUGCACUCUAGCGACUGCUGCAAGAACUACACUUGUGUCUGCGAGGCAUCCAAGUGCCCAACAGCCGUCAUCCCAAGCUGCGACGCCUCUCAGGGCAUGACUCUGGCCGUGGACAACUCACAGUGCUGUGCUCAGUACUCAUGUGAGUGCACAACAGCACCACCACCACCAACCUGCCAGCCGUUCUAUGAGGUCCAGGCUACAGGAGUCACAUCCUGCGGAUUCGCCAUCUAUGAAUGCAGACCACCAAGUGAGGGCUGUGUGCACCAGAACCAGCUGUACACGCUUGGUGAGAUGUGGGCUCCAGAUGUCUGCACAGUCUGCCGCUGCAGUGAGCAGGCCAACGCUAACGGAGAACACGAGGUCUUCUGUGAGACUCAGAGAUGCCCGACCGCCGACGACUGUCCUGCUGGCUUUGAGCUGGUGAUGAUUGGUGGCGAGUGCUGCGGUGAGUGCAGACAGACCCACUGCUCUGUCCAGAUGCCAGGAGAGGACCAGCCUCAGCUCUACGCUGUUGGAGAGACCUGGACCGUUGAGGGAUCUUGCCCACAGGAGGAGUGUGUGUGCAUGGAACAAUAUGGCCGCCCAUACACGACAUGCAGCACCACAACAUGCCCAGACAUCACAGGCUGCCCACAGGAGUUCAUUGCUAUGGAUGAGAAUGGAUGUUGCCAGAUCUGCCAGGAGACCAGCCACGGCUGCAGUGCUGUCCUGAAGGAAGGUCAUCCAACAAAACUCAAGGUCGGCAUCUGUGAAUCCAUCGUGGAGGUCAAUGUCACCGAGUGUGAAGGUCGCUGCGGCUCCUCAACAUCUGUGGUGUUCCCAGACGACUACUCACAGCCUCAUACAUACCAGGAGAACUGCAACUGCUGCAAGCCGACCAAGACCGAGCGCCGCCAGGUGGACAUGGUCUGCGAGGACUUCACGCAGGUCGUACACGAGUACGACGUGAUCCUGGAGUGCUCGUGCGAGGCCUCACAGUGCGUCCAGUGGUCUCAGCCAUAAUCACAACAUGGCCGCUACACUCCUUAACCACGCAGCACGACAAUCUCUAUCAUAGUUAACCUUAGUAAUUCCUCACCAUAGUUUCCCCUUCAUUGUCCUUUUCAAGAAUUCCAUAUAUUUGCAUUUUAAAAGCUAAGAAUCCUUCAUCGUGUUUUAAGCCCUACAAAUGUUCAUCACAACGACUUGCCUUUUGAGAGGCGGAAAAAAAAUAAGUUUUUUGUUGUAGAUAUUCAAACAGUGGUAGAUUUUAUGUUGAACUAUUUUGUGUUGGAAGUUGGCAAAAACCUGUAAUGUAGAGCAUAAGAACAAACUGUGUUCCCCAAAAAAAAGAAUUGGUGAGGAAAUAGAAUGAAUAUGAAUUUAUGCAAA